rnacentral:lncRNA from 1 species
AAGAAGUCAGGCCACUACAAGUGCCAUAGCUUGAGCAAACUAUGCAGCCUGUAGCUCCACCUGGGAAGGUGUAAAAAAUCUGGGAGGCCACAAACCAUGGAAGCUGUACGCAUGGCGUAGUGGACUAGCGGUUAGAGGAGACCCCUCCCUUGCAAGUCGCAGCAACAAUGGGGGCCCAAGGUGGGAUGAAGCUGUAAUCUCACUGGAAGGACUAGAGGUUAGAGGAGACCCCCCCGAAAUAAAAAACAGCAUAUUGACGCUGGGAA